rnacentral:ncRNA from 1 species
UAGGGAAGGCCCCUAGUAACCGAGGACUUAAGGCAUCGGUUACAAACCACCUUAAGCUGCAUGGCUAAAGAGACUAUGUUGUAGAUGCUAGUGUAGACGUUGAUCAAAAGAUUUAAAAGG